AGGAACUGCCUGAUGGAGGGGGAUUACUACUGGAAACGGUAGCUAAUACCGCAUAACGUCGCAAGACCAAAGAGGGGGACCUUCGGGCCUCUUGCCAUCGGAUGUGCCCAGAUGGGAUUAGCUAGUAGGUGGGGUAACGGCUCACCUAGGCGACGAUCCCUAGCUGGUCUGAGAGGAUGACCAGCCACACUGGAACUGAGACACGGUCCAG
rnacentral:rRNA from 1 species